CGCUUCUCCUAUUUCUCUAACGUGAUCUGGGCUUUUUAUUACAUAUGCAAAUUAAAUCCGGACCUAAAGCCAUGUUAGAGACCCAUUCGGAGCUUCUUCUUCUUUGACCGUCUUUGACCAUCUUCAUCGUCUCUAUUCCUCUUUUUUUCACUACAGCAACCAGAACGAUAUGUAACGCCUUGUCCCUUCUCGUUAAGUUUCACCAUUAACUCGAAGUUCUCCUACUACGUCAAAUUUAAUUACUUUUCUCCUCACCUCCUUUUGAAAUCCCUAAUUUUCUAUACUAUAAAUAAUGAUGCAACCAUCUCCAAAUCUCACUGCUUCACCAGAUUCUUCACCGAUCGUCCUUACAAACACAUCCUAUAUCAAUGGUGGGAUCCCUUAUGUUCUUUCCGAUUUGAAGCCGAGUCCGUGUUCUCAAACGGUGGUGACGCGUCUCCUACAUUGAAGCGCGCAAUACGAAGAAAAUCGGUGAGCUGAUGGGUGUAGUCAUGCUCCUCCUUGAUGAAAAGUCAACACGUCUCCAAAGUUCCAUAUUUGUUCAUCGCCUAAGGAAGGAAACUCUAGCCUCUCGCUUCAAGACCGUGUGAAGCUACUGCUUGCUUUAGCCAAAGAAUAUGGUGUUAACAGAGAGCAAGUCCGAGAACUCAUUAGGCAAUAACUUGGACUUGAGAAUCCACCCAAUAAACCUUAUGUUUUUGUUUUUUUAUUGAUACUCUUCAAUAGAUUUCUCUCUUGAUGAACGAGCGCUCUUUAGGUGACGAUGGAGAGCUUCGUUCUACAAAUAAUGAGGCUUUAUCUACUGUUUCCUAUCGCAUUGAGUGGAAUAUGAGACAUGCUCUCAAGCCAACGUUUGAAACUCUCUUUCAGAUGUUAAAUACUCAAUCCUGUUGAUCUUCAUUAGUCAUACUACGGAUGUGGCUUAGUCCUGCUACUUUAAAGCUUCAUCAAAUCACUUGGAAUGAUUAUGCUUCCUUGCUUGAGAAAACUUUUGCUUAUGAGGCGUUGCAUCCAAUCAGCAGCAUCUUAGAUCUUAAAAAAGAUUCGGAAUAGGUCGUCAUGCUUUGGUUAUUAUCAUCCAUCUAUUCAUGGUUGGUUAGUUUUAUACACAUGUUUCUUUGAUCGCCACCAGCUUAGCUCUACUGCAACUUUUGGAUUACAUGUUAACCAUCUCUUUUCAUACUAUGUACUUCUCCUUUUAACAUACGGUCUAACAUCUUAUAAUGCGUUUGCGGGGACAACAACCUAGGUGAUGAUCUGCCAGGAGCUACAUGUGUGUCCUGCAUCUGCUCUAAAAGCCACAAGUCGUCUGCAACUGAUCAGGCCACCGGCAGUGAUGGCGUCCACUUACUGAAACAGCAGUAGCUGAGCACCACACAGUUGGGAGCUCAGCAAAUGAGCCACAUGUUUCAACAACAGAGAGGGAGUUUAAGAAAGAACCCAAAGCAUAGAUGCUGAAGAUAGCCAAAUGAAGGCUCCUCCACUUUCUCGCAAGCUUUUUUCCUUUUAGUUUCUUUAAAAAAACCUAUGGUUCUACGUUCACGUUUCCUAUAUUCUAAAUGAAUAAAAUCAUAUUUCAUUUUAA